GGGCUGGGGCAAAGUUCUCCAGAGGGCUGUGUAUGCUCUGAAUCAGCCUCCAAUACAUGAUACUGUUUCUCCCAUAGCCAGGAUUUACAGGUCCAGUAAUCGAGGGGUGGAAGUGGAAGCGGCACCACUCACUAUCACCCCUAGUGAUCUACUAGCAAAAUUUUUGCUUCCUGUUCCCAUGACAUUACAUUCUGCUGGCUUAGAGGUCUUAGUUCCAGAAGGAGGAGUGCUGCCACCAGGAGACACAACAACAAUGCCAUAAAACUAGAAGUUAAGAUUGCCAUCUGGACACUUUGGGCUCCUCCUACCUUUAAGUCAACAGGCUAAGAAGAGUGUUACAGUGUUGGCUGGGGUGACUGGCCCAGACUAUCAAGAUGAAAUCAGUCUACUACUCCACAAUGGAGUUGCUGAAUGAUAAGCAAUAAUGGAAGGAAACUAUGAAAAUCACACUAGAGUGUCAAUGAAAAUCAUCUACAGUUGAUGGUAUCUAAAAGCGAUAUGACACUUCUGAAAUGGCCUUGUGACAUCAUCUCUGAAUAGAGAAGUUGAAUGAAAUAAGUUUGCAAGCACAUUCUGUAAGAACUUCUCCAGAGACAUGGGCUUUAGGUAUGUCUGCCCAGGAGUGCCAGUUACCAGUAAGAGUUUCAGUUCAUGUUUAUUCUGCAAAACUGGGUGAAGAAAAGUUCAUUUAUCAGAAAUACUUUCUCCAUAGAAGGUCUAAACUUUCGACCAGACUGAAGUCUAUUCAUGUAAUCAACUGUCUUUAAUAUUCAAUGUUCUUACUACAACAGCUGGGCAGGAUUGUCUUUCCCUCCCUGAACAUUUCUUCCCUCUUUGUCAGAAAACAAAUGAAUGUCCUCAGUAUUAUCAGAGUAAGUCCUUUAUCUACCCAAGGGUGCCAGGAUAUUUUAUCAAGUAAACAAAUUAAAAUAUUUCACUUUCAUUUGCCAACUGAAUGAUUCCCGCUCCUUUGUCCACCAAUCCCCACCUCACUUAUUAAUGUUCACUGAGCAAUAAGGCACCACUUGAUUUGUUGAUUCUAGGACAAUAAUAAGUGAAUAAUAGAGCACCACUUGAUUUGCUCAUUUUAGGACAAUAACAAUUCAAGAUCAUCUUAAUCCAAAGGUUCCCAAAUGUUACUGUACUUAGAACUACCUGGGGAAUUUAUAAAACCCCGAUGUCUAUGCUGCACUGCAUAACAACUAAAUCAGAAUAUUUGGAGGUGAAAAACAGGCAUCAAUCAUUUAGAGCAACAUUACAAACAAAUAAAAAUGUUCAAAAUUUUUUUCUAUUAAACACUUAUGAAUUCUGAAUAAAAUGAAAUAAAUGCUGUUCAAAAGGUUUUGCUGAGCUUACAACAAAUUAAGGCAAAUCAUUGGUUUUGAGGUGAUCCACAAAACCAAUAAUCAUAUAAAAAUGCUCAAACUCUUUAGUAAUUAGGAAAAUGCAAAUUAAAGCAAUAAUUACCUGCAAUUUUACACCCGUUACAUUGGCAAAAAUUUUUAAAAAUAACAAUAACUAAUGGCAAGAUAUGGGGCAAAGGGAACUCUUAUUCACUGCUGACAGAUUUUAAAUAGGCACAGCCCCUUUGGAGAGCAAUUUUAUACUCUCUAGUGAAGUGGAAGAUGCACAUAUAUUAUAACUCAGCAAUUACACUUCCCCUGUGGCCGUAUGUGUCCAGGGAGAGGAGCACAAGAAUGUUCAUUAUAGCGUUGUUUGUAAUAUUGAAAAAUUGAAGGCUGCUUGAAUUUGCAUUGAAGAUGUUGUAUUAUUCACUCAUAGAGCAAAUUAUAGGCACUAAAAUGAAGGAACAAG
rnacentral:lncRNA from 10 species